UGGGGAAUAUUGGACAAUGGGCGAAAGCCUGAUCCAGCCAUGCCGCGUGAGUGAUGAAGGCCCUAGGGUUGUAAAGCUCUUUCAACGGUGAAGAUAAUGACGGUAACCGUAGAAGAAGCCCCGGCUAACUUCGUGCCAGCAGCCGCGGUAAUACGAAGGGGGCUAGCGUUGUUCGGAAUUACUGGGCGUAAAGCGCACGUAGGCGGACUAUUAAGUCAGGGGUGAAAUCCCGGGGCUCAACCCCGGAACUGCCUUUGAUACUGGUAGUCUCGAGUCCGGAAGAGGUGAGUGGAAUUCCGAGUGUAGAGGUGAAAUUCGUAGAUAUUCGGAGGAACACCAGUGGCGAAGGCGGCUCACUGGUCCGGUACUGACGCUGAGGUGCGAAAGCGUGGGGAGCAAACA
rnacentral:rRNA from 1 species